rnacentral:rRNA from 1 species
GACGAACGCUGGCGGCGUGCCUAAUACAUGCAAGUAGGACGCACAGUUUAUACCGUAGCUUGCUACACCAUAGACUGUGAGUUGCGAACGGGUGAGUAACGCGUAGGUAACCUGCCUAUUAGAGGGGGAUAACUAUUGGAAACGAUAGCUAAUACCGCAUAACAGUAUGUAACACAUGUUAUAUGCUUGAAAGAUGCAAUUGCAUCGCUAGUAGAUGGACCUGCGUUGUAUUAGCUAGUAGGUAGGGUAAUGGCCUACCUAGGCGACGAUACAUAGCCGACCUGAGAGGGUGAUCGGCCACACUGGGACUGAGACACGGCCCAGACUCCUACGGGAGGCAGCAGUAGGGAAUCUUCGGCAAUGGGGGGAACCCUGACCGAGCAACGCCGCGUGAGUGAAGAAGGUUUUCGGAUCGUAAAGCUCUGUUGUUAAGGAAGAACGAGUGUGAGAAUGGAAAGUUCAUACUGUGACGGUACUUAACCAGAAAGGGACGGCUA